rnacentral:rRNA from 1 species
UAUUGGACAAUGGGGGUAACCCUGAACCAGCCAUGCCGCGUGUGUGAGGAAGGCCUGUUGGUUGUAAAGCACUUUAAGCGAGGAGGAGGAGCUCUUGGUAAAUACCCAAGAUGCUUGGACGUUACUCGCAGAAUAAGCACCGACUAACUCUGUGCCAGCUGCCGCGGUAAUACAGAGGGUGCAAGCGUUAAUCGGAUUUACUGGGCAUAAAGCGCGCGUAGGUAGCCAAUUAAGUCAAAUGUGAAAUCUCCGAUCUUAACUUGGGAAUUGCAUUCGAUACUGGUUGGCUAGAGUAUGAGAGAGGAUGGUAGAAUACCAGGUGUAGCGGUGAAAUGCGUAGAGAUCUCGAGGAAUACCGAUGGCGAAGGCAGCCAUCUGGCCUAAUACUGACACUGCGGUGCGAAAGCAUGGGGAUCAAACA